rfam:Felis catus isolate Cinnamon breed Abyssinian chromosome C1, whole genome shotgun sequence.
GCCUGGGUGGCUCAGUAGGUUGAGCGUCUGACUUCAGCUCAGGUCAUGAUCUCACAUUCUGUGAGUUUGAGCCCCAUUUCAGGCU